rnacentral:rRNA from 1 species
GGUUAAGCGACUAAGCGUACACGGUGGAUGCCCUGGCAGUCAGAGGCGAUGAAGGACGUGCUAAUCUGCGAUAAGCGUCGGUAAGGUGAUAUGAACCGUUAUAACCGGCGAUUUCCGAAUGGGGAAACCCAGUGUGAUUCGUCACACUAUCAUUAACUGAAUCCAUAGGUUAAUGAGGCGAACCGGGGGAACUGAAACAUCUAAGUACCCCGAGGAAAAGAAAUCAACCGAGAUUCCCCCAGUAGCGGCGAGCGAACGGGGAGCAGCCCAGAGCCUGAAUCAGUGUGUGUGUUAGUGGAAGCGUCUGGAAAGGCGCGCGAUACAGGGUGACAGCCCCGUACACAAAAAUGCACAUGCUGUGAGCUCGAUGAGUAGGGCGGGACACGUGGUAUCCUGUCUGAAUAUGGGGGGACCAUCCUCCAAGGCUAAAUACUCCUGACUGACCGAUAGUGAACCAGUACCGUGAGGGAAAGGCGAAAAGAACCCCGGCGAGGGGAGUGAAAAAGAACCUGAAACCGUGUACGUACAAGCAGUGGGAGCACAGAGCAAUCUGUGUGACUGCGUACCUUUUGUAUAAUGGGUCAGCGACUUAUAUUCUGUAGCAAGGUUAACCGAAUAGGGGAGCCGAAGGGAAACCGAGUCUUAACUGGGCGUUAAGUUGCAGGGUAUAGACCCGAAACCCGGUGAUCUAGCCAUGGGCAGGUUGAAGGUUGGGUAACACUAACUGGAGGACCGAACCGACUAAUGUUGAAAAAUUAGCGGAUGACUUGUGGCUGGGGGUGAAAGGCCAAUCAAACCGGGAGAUAGCUGGUUCUCCCCGAAAGCUAUUUAGGUAGCGCCUCGUGAAUUCAUCUCCGGGGGUAGAGCACUGUUUCGGCAAGGGGGUCAUCCCGACUUACCAACCCGAUGCAAACUGCGAAUACCGGAGAAUGUUAUCACGGGAGACACACGGCGGGUGCUAACGUCCGUCGUGAAGAGGGAAACAACCCAGACCGCCAGCUAAGGUCCCAAAGUCAUGGUUAAGUGGGAAACGAUGUGGGAAGGCCCAGACAGCCAGGAUGUUGGCUUAGAAGCAGCCAUCAUUUAAAGAAAGCGUAAUAGCUCACUGGUCGAGUCGGCCUGCGCGGAAGAUGUAACGGGGCUAAACCAUGCACCGAAGCUGCGGCAGCGACGCUUAUGCGUUGUUGGGUAGGGGAGCGUUCUGUAAGCCUGUGAAGGUGUACUGUGAGGUAUGCUGGAGGUAUCAGAAGUGCGAAUGCUGACAUAAGUAACGAUAAAGCGGGUGAAAAGCCCGCUCGCCGGAAGACCAAGGGUUCCUGUCCAACGUUAAUCGGGGCAGGGUGAGUCGACCCCUAAGGCGAGGCCGAAAGGCGUAGUCGAUGGGAAACAGGUUAAUAUUCCUGUACUUGGUGUUACUGCGAAGGGGGGACGGAGAAGGCUAUGUUGGCCGGGCGACGGUUGUCCCGGUUUAAGCGUGUAGGCUGGUUUUCCAGGCAAAUCCGGAAAAUCAAGGCUGAGGCGUGAUGACGAGGCACUACGGUGCUGAAGCAACAAAUGCCCUGCUUCCAGGAAAAGCCUCUAAGCAUCAGGUAACAUCAAAUCGUACCCCAAACCGACACAGGUGGUCAGGUAGAGAAUACCAAGGCGCUUGAGAGAACUCGGGUGAAGGAACUAGGCAAAAUGGUGCCGUAACUUCGGGAGAAGGCACGCUGAUAUGUAGGUGAAGUCCCUCGCGGAUGGAGCUGAAAUCAGUCGAAGAUACCAGCUGGCUGCAACUGUUUAUUAAAAACACAGCACUGUGCAAACACGAAAGUGGACGUAUACGGUGUGACGCCUGCCCGGUGCCGGAAGGUUAAUUGAUGGGGUUAGCGCAAGCGAAGCUCUUGAUCGAAGCCCCGGUAAACGGCGGCCGUAACUAUAACGGUCCUAAGGUAGCGAAAUUCCUUGUCGGGUAAGUUCCGACCUGCACGAAUGGCGUAAUGAUGGCCAGGCUGUCUCCACCCGAGACUCAGUGAAAUUGAACUCGCUGUGAAGAUGCAGUGUACCCGCGGCAAGACGGAAAGACCCCGUGAACCUUUACUAUAGCUUGACACUGAACAUUGAGCCUUGAUGUGUAGGAUAGGUGGGAGGCUUUGAAGUGUGGACGCCAGUCUGCAUGGAGCCGACCUUGAAAUACCACCCUUUAAUGUUUGAUGUUCUAACGUUGACCCGUAAUCCGGGUUGCGGACAGUGUCUGGUGGGUAGUUUGACUGGGGCGGUCUCCUCCUAAAGAGUAACGGAGGAGCACGAAGGUUGGCUAAUCCUGGUCGGACAUCAGGAGGUUAGUGCAAUGGCAUAAGCCAGCUUGACUGCGAGCGUGACGGCGCGAGCAGGUGCGAAAGCAGGUCAUAGUGAUCCGGUGGUUCUGAAUGGAAGGGCCAUCGCUCAACGGAUAAAAGGUACUCCGGGGAUAACAGGCUGAUACCGCCCAAGAGUUCAUAUCGACGGCGGUGUUUGGCACCUCGAUGUCGGCUCAUCACAUCCUGGGGCUGAAGUAGGUCCCAAGGGUAUGGCUGUUCGCCAUUUAAAGUGGUACGCGAGCUGGGUUUAGAACGUCGUGAGACAGUUCGGUCCCUAUCUGCCGUGGGCGCUGGAGAAUUGAGGGGGGCUGCUCCUAGUACGAGAGGACCGGAGUGGACGCAUCACUGGUGUUCGGGUUGUCAUGCCAAUGGCACUGCCCGGUAGCUAAAUGCGGAAGAGAUAAGUGCUGAAAGCAUCUAAGCACGAAACUUGCCCCGAGAUGAGUUCUCCCUGACCCUUUAAGGGUCCUGAAGGAACGUUGAAGACGACGACGUUGAUAGGCCGGGUGUGUAAGCGCAGCGAUGCGUUGAGCUAACCGGUACUAAUGAACCGUGAGGCUUAACCUU